AAAAACAUCAAUUGGAAAGUAGUAAAGUGCCCUUUGCAAGAAGGAACUGUAGAAUGUGGAUAUUAUGUGAUGAAAUACAUGAAGGAAAUCAUUAAUGAUCCAAACUGCUCAAUUAUUACCAAGUUCAAAGAAAAAGCUACAUACACUCAACAUGAAAUUGAUGCGUUAAGAAUAGAGUGGGCUGAGUAUGUUGAUGACUUCAUCCCAAUAGAUGAAACACUAGAUUAGCUGGUUUGUGAAAUUUUAAAUUAAGUGAACUUAUAGUUUUAUUUUAGUAGGAAACUCUACACAUUAUAUUGUCUUUUGUAAUCCUUUGGUAGUGGAUGAAUUACAAAUUUAUGAAGCAAUACUGUUUAA